UACAGAGGUCUCAAGCGUUGUUCGGAUUCAUUGGGCGUAAAGGGUGCGUAGGUGGCGCGCUAAGUCAGGUGUGAAAUUUCGGAGCUUAACUCCGAAACUGCAUUCGAUACUGCCGUGCUUGAGGACUGGAGAGGAGACUGGAAUUUACGGUGUAGCGGUGAAAUGCGUAGAUAUCGUAAGGAAGACCAGUGGCGAAGGCGGGUCUCGUGGACAGUUCCUGACGCUGAGGCACGAAGGUCAGGGGAGGCAAACGGG
rnacentral:rRNA from 1 species